AGAGUUUGAUCCUGGCUCAGAGCGAACGCUGGCGGCGUACUUAACACAUGCAAGUCGAACGAGGAUCGUCGGUGUAGCAAUACAUCGGCGGUCCUAGUGGCGCACGGGUGAGUAACACGUGGGUAACCUGCCCUUGAGUUCGGGAUACCCUCUCGAAAGGGAGGCUAAUAGCGGAUACGUUCCUCGGGUUGCGAAAUCUGGGGAGGAAAGGUGGCGAAAGCUGCCGCUCUUGGAGGGGCUCGCGGCCUAUCAGCUAGUUGGUGAGGUAACGGCUCACCAAGGCUAUGACGGGUAGCUGGUCUGAGAGGACGACCAGCCACACGGGAACUGAGACACGGUCCCGACUCCUACGGGAGGCAGCAGUGGGGAAUUUUCCGCAAUGGGCGAAAGCCUGACGGAGUGACGCCGCGUGGGGGACGAAGGCCUUCGGGUUGUAAACCCCUGUCAGAGGGAAAGAAGGGUGUCGGCGCGAUAACCGCCGGCACUUGACGGUACCUUCAGAGGAAGCCCCGGCCAACUCUGUGCCAGCAGCCGCGGUAAGACAGAGGGGGCAAGCGUUGCUCGGAAUCACUGGGCGUAAAGGGCGCGUAGGCGGGAUGGCAAGUCAGUCGUGAAAUCUCUCGGCUCAACCGAGAAACGUCGGCUGAUACUGCCGUUCUUGAGGGAUGCAGAGGAGACUGGAAUUCCCGGUGUAGCGGUGAAAUGUGUAGAGAUCGGGAGGAACACCGGUGGCGAAAGGCGGGUCUCUGGGCAUCUCCUGACGCUGAGGCGCGAAAGCGUGGGGAGCAAACGGGAUUAGAUACCCCGGUAGUCCACGCUGUAAACGAUGACGACUAGGUGUUGGGGGUGGUUCAGUCCAUUCCGUGCCGCAGCUAACGCAUUAAGUCGUCCGCCUGGGGGAGUACGGCCGCAAGGUUGAAACUCAAAUGAAUUGACGG
rnacentral:rRNA from 1 species